GGCCUACGGGGGGCAGCAGUGGGGAAUAUUGCACAAUGGGGGAAACCCUGAUGCAGCGACGCCGCGUGAGUGAAGAAGUAUUUCGGUAUGUAAAGCUCUAUCAGCAGGGAAGAAAAAAGACGGUACCUGACUAAGAAGCCCCGGCUAACUACGUGCCAGCAGCCGCGGUAAUACGUAGGGGGCAAGCGUUAUCCGGAAUCACUGGGUGUAAAGGGAGCGUAGACGGCUGAGCAAGCCUGAAGUGAAAGGCAGGGGCCCAACCCCGGGACUGCUUUG
rnacentral:rRNA from 1 species